rnacentral:rRNA from 1 species
GACGAACGCUGGCGGCGUGCCUAAUACAUGCAAGUAGAACGCUGAAGAGAGGAGCUUGCUCUUCUUGGAAGAGUUGCGAACGGGUGAGUAACGCGUAGGUAACCUGCCUUGUAGCGGGGGAUAACUAUUGGAAACGAUAGCUAAUACCGCAUAACAAUGGGUGACCCAUGUCAUUCAUUUGAAAGGGGCAACUGCUCCACUACAAGAUGGACCUGCGUUGUAUUAGCUAGUAGGUGAGGUAACGGCUCACCUAGGCGACGAUACAUAGCCGACCUGAGAGGGUGAUCGGCCACAUUGGGACUGAGACACGGCCCAGACUCCUACGGGAGGCAGCAGUAGGGAAUCUUCGGCAAUGGGGGCAACCCUGACCGAGCAACGCCGCGUGAGUGAAGAAGGUUUUCGGAUCGUAAAGCUCUGUUGUAAGUCAAGAACGAGUGUGAGAGUGGAAAGUUCACACUGUGACGGUAGCUUACCAGAAAGGGACGGCUAACUACGUGCCAGCAGCCGCGGUAAUACGUAGGUCCCGAGCGUUGUCCGGAUUUAUUGGGCGUAAAGCGAGCGCAGGCGGUUUGAUAAGUCUGAAGUUAAAGGCUGUGGCUCAACCAUAGUUCGCUUUGGAAACUGUCAAACUUGAGUGCAGAAGGGGAGAGUGGAAUUCCAUGUGUAGCGGUGAAAUGCGUAGAUAUAUGGAGGAACACCGGUGGCGAAAGCGGCUCUCUGGUCUGUAACUGACGCUGAGGCUCGAAAGCGUGGGGAGCGAACAGG